rnacentral:lncRNA from 1 species
AUGGCUCCUGCUGUGUCUCUGCCCCGUUUGCAGCCCCCAUCGCACCCACAACUGCAGCGAGGACCAAAAUACCCCACAAAAAAGGUCCAGACCCCUCGCACUGCUGUGGUUUUGCACCUGAAAAGGACCUGGAGGAAAGGGGCCCUACAGCUGGCCUCGUUUUUCCUCCAGGAAGGCUCACAACCAAAUCCAUCCCCCAAGCACUGGCAAGGACACACUCAGACCCUAACCCAGGAAAAGACCUCAAGGACAGGAGGAUCUGGGGGCAGUUCGUGUCCCCCCACAGCACCCCCCAACCACGCUGCACGUUUGUGGGGUGCUCACACUGAGAGAGCAGCCCUGGCCCCAGGGCACCACAAAAAAAAAAAAAAAAAAAGGGGGAAAAGGGGACAGGGAAGGGGCGAGUGCCCCCCUGCCCCGCUUCCCACAGGAGCCUUCGGGAAUGGCGCUGCCGAGAAAUUCGGGGACCGGCUGCAGAGAGCAAGCUCGGAAUUAAAAAGCUGCAGCUGCUCAGGGCAAAAACCUGGUUCUCAGAGCCGCAUCUCGCCCCUCGAGGGGUCAGAACCCCGCGGAGCGAGCUACGUGUCCGAAUCAAAGGCGGCCGCGCACGGAGCCAUCCAAGCAACACAGGCGGGCAGACGGUCUGCAAACAAACAGCGCGAGCCAAAAAGCACCAGCGGAAGCGGCGGGGGGAAGGAAUUCUCUGCGCUGGAAGGAGGUUGUGAUCUGGGCAGGCCGGGGAAGGAAUGCGGUGACGUUCGUCAAGCUAAUAGAUUAGAUAAAUUAUUCAUGGGUAAUUUGUUUGCCCCGCUCUACGCAUGGGAGAGGCGCAGGGGAAGCAGCACCGAGGGCUGGGCAGGAGCUGGAGGCUUCAGAGCCCGAGGAAACCUGGGCUUUGGGUGGGGUGGGAUGCUCGUGGAAAGCCUUGCUUGGUGCCUGGGGAGGGAGCAGCAGAGGAACAAUGGGGGCUGGGGAUGUCCCGCAGGGAAACGUGCUCCGGCAGGGCCCACGCCUGCCCGCGGGAGGCAUGGCUCCAUCGGGGCACGGUGCCACAGCGGGGACGGCCAGGGACAGCAUCCUGCAUGCCCUGCUGCCUCGUCCCUGCCCCCCGAGACCACACCUGCUGUCCUCACCACCCCACAAGCUGUCCCACACCAUCCCCAUCCUCACCCCGACACCCAGUCCUGGGAGCCCCCCAGAUUUUAG